GUGACUGUAGCUCAGUUGGUUAGAGCGUCAGAUUGUGGUCCUGAAGGUCGCCGGUUCGAUCCCGGUCAGUCACCCUA
rnacentral:tRNA from 3 species